UACGUAGGGGGCAAGCGUUGUCCGGAAUCAUUGGGCGUAAAGCGCGCGUAGGCGGCCCGGUAAGUCCGCUGUAAAAGUCCAGGGCUCAACCCUGGGAUGCCGGUGGAUACUGUCGGGCUCGAGUCCGGAAGAGGCGAGUGGAAUUCCUGGUGUAGCGGUGAAAUGCGCAGAUAUCAGGAGGAACACCAAUGGCGAAGGCAGCUCGCUGGGACGUGACUGACGCUGAGACGCGAAAGCGUGGGGAGCAAACAGG
rnacentral:rRNA from 1 species